UACGGAGGGAGCUAGCGUUGUUCGGAAUUACUGGGCGUAAAGCGCGCGUAGGCGGCUUUGUAAGUUAGAGGUGAAAGCCCGGAGCUCAACUCCGGAACUGCCUUUAAGACUGCAUCGCUUGAAUCCGGGAGAGGUGAGUGGAAUUCCGAGUGUAGAGGUGAAAUUCGUAGAUAUUCGGAAGAACACCAGUGGCGAAGGCGGGUCUCUGGACAGUUCCUGACGCUGAGGCACGAAGGUCAGGGGAGCAAACGGG
rnacentral:rRNA from 1 species